UACGUAGGGCGCAAGCGUUGUCCGGAAUUAUUGGGCGUAAAGAGCUUGUAGGCGGUUUGUCGCGUCUGCUGUGAAAAUCCGGGGCUCAACCCCGGACUUGCAGUGGGUACGGGCAGACUAGAGUGUGGUAGGGGAGACUGGAAUUCCUGGUGUAGCGGUGAAAUGCGCAGAUAUCAGGAAGAACACCCGUGGCGAAAGCGGCUCUCUGGAACGGUACUGACGCUGAGACGCGAAAGCGUGGGGAGCGAACAGG
rnacentral:rRNA from 1 species